rnacentral:rRNA from 1 species
AUACGGAGGACGCGAGCGUUAUCCGGAUUCAUUGGGUUUAAAGGGUGCGCAGGCGGCCGUGCAAGUCAGCGGUGAAAGCCCGGGGCUCAACCCCGGAAGUGCCGUUGAUACUGCAUGGCUGGAAUGCGGUCGAGGCGGGCGGAACGUGGCGUGUAGCGGUGAAAUGCGUAGAUAUGCCACAGAACGCCGAUAGCGGAGGCAGCUCGCCAGGCCUGCAUUGACGCUCGGGCACGAAAGCGUGGGGAUCGAACAGGAUUAGAUACCCUGGUAGUCCGCGCCGUAAACGAUGGGCGCUCGUCGUCGGCGACAGACAGUCGGCGGCCAAGCGAAAGCGAUAAGCGCCCCACCUGGGGAGUACGGUCGCAAGGCUGAAACUCAAAUGAAUUGACGGGG